AGGGAAGGUAUCAUAUAAAAUGUUAUCGUUUUCGGCACGACUUAUGGGAGUGUUUCCCCCUUCCUUA
rnacentral:tRNA from 1 species